UACGGAGGGAGCUAGCGUUGUUCGGAAUUACUGGGCGUAAAGCGCACGUAGGCGGCUUGUUAAGUCAGGGGUGAAAUCCUGGAGCUCAACUCCAGAACUGCCUUUGAUACUGGCGAGCUUGAGCUCGGGAGAGGUGAGUGGAACUGCGAGUGUAGAGGUGAAAUUCGUAGAUAUUCGCAAGAACACCAGUGGCGAAGGCGGCUCACUGGCCCGAUACUGACGCUGAGGUGCGAAAGCGUGGGGAGCAAACAGG
rnacentral:rRNA from 1 species